rnacentral:rRNA from 1 species
CCCGGCUCACCCGCCGAAACCUUGAACAUGGCACCCCCGGGGCACGUCCUCGGGGGACUGUAGUCACCCCAAUUACGUGCGGUGGCGACAUCGACAGUCUGCGGGAAUCUCUCCACCAGCUGGGGACAACCCGCAGCCGGACCUCUUGCGUCCGGCCCACAGACUAAAUGUUGAUGGGUCCGCGCCCCCAUGCGGAUUUUCGAUAUAGUCGGUCGUCGGGGCAUACACCCCCCUCGAGCAAACGUUCCGUAGGUGAACCUGCGGAAGGAUCAUUA